AUAAGCGAGUGAAUACCGCGGAAGGAAUAAGAGUGAGAUAGAGAAGGAGACGCAUGCGUCCUUUAAUGGCUUGCGCCUUCUCUGAUACGUAUCCCACAUACCCCAGUAUCCAGCAGCGUCCGCCCCCGUUGCGGCCCAUCCCGCCAUCCCCAGCCUACAACCCCAACCCUGACAUCCAUCUCUCACUCCCUCGUAUUCCGCUGGUACAGUGAUGUUGGCAUUUCGUGGACUCUACUGCAACACCGUGCGUAUCGCGAGAGUAUCUAAUUUAAUCUGAAUGAUUUAGAUGCAUGACGCACACGCGAUAUCAUCCUGACAAUGACCUUUCACACAAUAUAUAACAAUUGUCAGAAGGAUUAAAUAGUUGAAUUGAAAUCGUCAAGAAUUUCGGACAUUUGUGACAAGUGUUUCUAAGCAAUUGUGCAUUAGUGUGCAUAAUUACCACAUUCAAAAUUUAUCAAUUCAGACUGUUUGAUUCCCCAAUAACGCAUAAUAAAUAUUUCAAUAAUUAAAGUUUUAAAAAAUUUCAUGUUGUCAACAUGCAGACUGUUCCAUUAUACUUGUUAAUUCCAAAUCUCGUUCCUAGUGCUUCGACAAAAUCAUUCCAUUUUCUGAGAGACGGCUAAUUGAGACAACCAAUAAUUUGACUUAUCCAGAGGGAGAAUAAAUGAACAAAUGAGAGUUGAGGCCGCUCAAGGGUAUGAAAUAUCAGACAGAGAGGGAAGGAGAGAAAGAGAACGAAAGGGAUGAUAAUAAUGAGCUGAAGAUAAAAAUACGAGUUAUCAAAAUUAAAAUUAAUAUAACACGGAAUUUAGUGUCUCACAAAUGACAUUUAAAUGGCGAAGAGAUAGCAGUAGUUGAGUAACACCGAUGAUUUCGGUGUUGAUUGUCGUCUCAACCCAGAAGAUAUGACGGUUAUGCCUUCUGGAUCUGAUGUUGCUGAUAAAGCGGUUUCCACUGAGGACGCCUCGGAGAUGGUGCAGCUUGAUGCUGUUCUUGCUGUACUUGUUGAGACAAAAAUAAAGGCCAUCAAGAGAGCUUCAUUGAGCUCAUCCAAGAGCAAGUGGCCCAGUGCACCAGCUAGUCCGAGAAGGCCGAGGUUAAUGUCCUCGUCGACGGCCUCAUCAUCACAAAAUCGUAAUCAUCAAGAUCAUUUUGAUAUUAAACAUUUUGAUAGGGGAGAUAUGGAGCAAAGACGGAAGACCUAUAGGCACAGACGGUAUGAUUCCGCACCGUGUCAACAGUACAUUGAAGAGAUCGAUGGGCAGGGUGCUCAGCAGGAGCAUCACAAUGCAAUAGUUCACAAGGAAUUAAAAGCCCGAAGAAGAGCAUCGGAAAUGAUACAUCGAAAUCCAAAGAAAAAACGUCGCUACUCCCGUCGAAUAAGUUCCCAUGUACUCCACAGUAUUGACUCACCCAUCGAACUCCCCGAGCUCCUCGACGUUGAUCGUCUACACGAUGAUUUGAAACUGAUACAUUACGAAAGAAACCGCGAUGCACUGAGUGACACGGGAGAUUUUCCGAGCAUACACCAAAGUGCCUACGUCUCCCAAAGUGCAGCGCAUCUUAAAUUAGCGUAUGAGGAUGAGGAUUAUGUCGCACUAAAUCUCGAGGAUGAGUUUGACGGUGCAUCCAUGGUGUCUGGUCAUUAUCCCCGGGACUUACCCCGCGACCGACGGGAUACACUGGGUGAGCGUUAUCAUCGGCCUCGGAGAAAACACAAACGAAAAAAACAUAGACAUGGGGUAUUUCUUCCCGAGGUAAAUCAAGUCCCUCAAGUCGUUCUCAUUGAUCAUGACGAACUACCACUCCGCGCGCGAUGGACUAUUGUCGCUACUGCCUGCCUGCUCUUUGCCAUGUCACUACUACUAGUCGGUGUUACUUUGAGAAUGGCACCAAUCAUCGAUGACAUGGUUGGAGUGUAGAAUUUUAGAUAUCUCUGAGAGGAGUGGCAUGUAAUAAAACAUGAGUUGAAAGAAUAUUCCCUCGCAGCUUUCAUAAAAGACGGUUGGAUAUAUUGAAAUUGUGUGUGAAAUGGCUCGCUGAAUCGAUUUUCUGGAAUGAUAAAGAGGGUUUGUUGGUCCCCGGGCGAGAGUCGCCAAGUCCUGGCUAUCGUUUCACAGCACCCUUUCUCUCCUCAAUUGUUUUCUCGUUAUUCUCAAUCCGAUUCAUUGUUUUGCCACAAAAAUAUCAAAUAUACGAAACAUGUAAAUAUAAAUAGUCGUAGUAGGUAGGAAAAUGAAUCCCUCUGUGAUAAAUAACCGAAGUGACAUGUCACGAAAGAAGGAAGAAAUAAUAUUGGCAAUGUCAUUAAAGGGAUGCCCUCUAUUCACGAGUUAAAAGUAUAACUUGCUUUGUACAUUUUACGGGGAAGGGAUACAUCCCUAUAUUGGAGCCUAGAGUCGUCGAGUGCCCGAGGGGUUGCGAGGUCGAGGGUGUCUUAUUCACGUCACUCUAAAUUAAAGACGCCUGGCCCCUGGAUCUUCAGUCUGUUGCGAGAUACCCGUGGCCUUAGUGGUCCACCCGGUUCACCGGAAGCUAAUCAGUUUCAAGUUUUUUUUUUUCGAUUUCUCUAUGUUUAUUACUCCUUGUGAGAAGAGUUUUUUUCGGAAAUUAUGUUGGUUAUUGCGGCAACAUGUGACAAUAUUAUUUUAAGCGCUAUGGAUAAUCAGCUAUCGAUUAUUCCCGUUGAAUCCUCGGAUUUAAUCCUCUGAGUUCGGUUCAAUUGUUCUCGUGAAAACGUUCGCAAGGAGAACGAGGAGCUGUUAAAUGCUUUGAACCGAGACACAUCUGUGCCAGACAAUAGUACAACAGCUCCACUUUAAAACUUUUUACCAAUCCCUCAUCUACGAGGGAGAUUGUUGGCUGCUGAUGCCAGUGAGAACCGAGAAUCACAACUCACAAUGAAGUAAAUGCCGUGACAUCGAGAAAAUGAGACACGAUAUACCCCUUUGUUCAAGCCGACUGAGGAUAAUCUGAGGGUGAAUUCGUCGUCAAAUGUGAGAGUAGUACGUCAAUACAACUAGUAUUAGUACGAACUGCUCAAUUUUUGGUUCAUCCAAAUACAGCAAAGACAUACCUUGACAUGAAUUUGAUGUAUAUAGGUGUUAUGUAUGAUGACGACUCAUGUUAUUAGUUUUAUACACUAGUGUCACGCAAAUUGACAAUGGAGAUUACCGAGUCAUUAAGAUCAAUGCAUAGCUAUUUCCUCCCAAUUCUAUGACAAUCAAAUUGUAAUUGUCAAGUGGGGAGAUGAAAGUUCAGUUAACAUUUUCCGGAAUACCUACUAAUCUGAAAAGAUCUCAAUAUUAUUUUUCAGUCAUUCGAUCAUUCCAUUGCACGCCGCAGUAGGUCAAUAUCAAGAGCACAAAUAAUUUAAUAAUAGUAAGAAUAAUAAUAAUACGAUUCUGUCAAAUUUCGAAGGACCCGAGAGGAUUGUUUUGCUCCCCAGAAAUGCAAUUAUUUUAUACGUCCAGAGACUCUUGCACUUUUUAUUGUCUUCGGUAAUUGAAUUACUGUCUUCAAUGGCCAAACACGUAGUCUUCUAAAUAAAGCAGACAAUAAGAUUAAGAUGUUGUACCCCUGGAGUAAAAAAAAAAUACAAUGUGACAAUGCCAACGGCUAAAGUCCACGUCAUUCUAUUUGAAAAGACAGAGUUGAAUUGGAGGGAUCUAGCGAACGGGUAUGGCCUAUUGAAUACGCAAUCCCACUCGUGAAUUUGUUGAUUAAAUAAUUUUACAUGCGUGACACAACGAAUAAUAUCAGAGAGCAUUAAAGAGAAUUUAUCACGGCGUUAUGAACGUGCUGGAACGUUCACCGUUUGUGAAAAGAAAAAUAAUAUUUAAUAUUGAAAUUAAUGUAAAGCAGAUGAAUAUUGCGAUUAUAUCUAGAAUUUUCCGAGUUCCUUUUACUGUAUUAUAAUGCGUUCAAUGAUGAACAGGGCCUUGAGUAAGAAAUUUAAUGCCAUCUUACUCCCUAUUUUUUCAUUCUAUUGACAAUCUUUCGCUCAUGAUAAUUCGCUACGAUGAUUCAAUUCCAUUUUGACUAUUAACCGGUUUUCAAAUUAUCUUAUGUAAUUAUCAAUUUUUCGAAACUUCAGUCAACCAUCAUUUAAACUAUCAUCAUUUAGCAAAUAAAACUCUCUAAAGCAUUUAAGUAUAUUCCAUAAUACUUCUAAACUAUUACGAGACAUCGUUUUUUUACUCAACGAAGGAACCAAAUGCAAUCAAUCCGCCUGAAUCUCUACCGUUGACAAUCAAUCUAAUGGGAGAAAGACUCUCCACUGCAUACAUCCUAUCAACAAUAUAGCCAAUGUAUAAUUACAAUCGAUGAAUAUCAAAAUAAUAUAGAUGAUUAUGAAAUAACAUAAUAAAAUUUUAACGAGUGUUGUGACAAUGUAUGUUGUGCCAAUGAGAAUUAAAUAACGGAAACGCAUAAGAUCAAAAUAACGAGAUAUUUAUGUUUAUAUAUAUAUUGUCCUAUUAAUGCAUGCAUGUAUCAUGGUUAUCAAUUACGAUGUAAUAUCCAAAUAGAUUGGGUUUUAAUUGUUA